rnacentral:rRNA from 1 species
GAGACGCUGGCGGCGUGCCUAACACAUGCAAGUCGAACGAAGNAAUAUUAAUGGAAGCUUCGGUGGAAAAUAAUAUUACUUAGUGGCGGACGGGUGAGUAACGCGUGGGUAACCUGCCCUAUACAGAGGAAUAACAUUGGGAAACCAGUGCUAAUACCUUAUAUUCCUACAACUAGGCAUCUAGAAGUAGGGAAAGAUUUAUCGGUAUAGGAUGGGCCCGCGUCUGAUUAGUUAGUUGGUGAGGUAAGAGCUCACCAAGACGAUGAUCAGUAGCCGACCUGAGAGGGUGAACGGCCACACUGGAACUGAGACACGGUCCAGACUCCUACGGGAGGCAGCAGUGGGGAAUAUUGCACAAUGGGGGAAACCCUGAUGCAGCAACGCCGCGUGAGCGAUGAAGGUCUUCGGAUCGUAAAGCUCUGUCAGGGGGGACGAUAAUGACGGUACCCCCAGAGGAAGCCCCGGCUAACUACGUGCCAGCAGCCGCGGUAAUACGUAGGGGGCGAGCGUUGUCCGGAAUUACUGGGCGUAAAGGGCGUGUAGGCGGCCAUGCAAGUCAGCUGUGAAACCCCCGGGCUCAACCCGGGACGUGCAGUUGAAACUGUAUGGCUUGAGUGCAGGAGAGGAGAGUGGAAUUCCUAGUGUAGCGGUGACAUGCGUAGAUAUUAGGAGGAACACCCAGUGGCGAAGGCGGCUCUCUGGACUGUAACUGGACGCUGAGGUGCGAAAGCUAGGGGAGCAAACAGGAUUAGAUACCCUGGUUAGUCCUAGCUGUAAACGCUGGGGUACUAGGUGUAGGGGGUU